rnacentral:tRNA from 1 species
GCACCUGUGGCGAAACUGGCAGACGCGCCAGACUUAGGAUCUGGUGUCUUUGACGUGGGGGUUCAAGUCCCUUCAGGUGCACCA